CUAGGUUGCCAACCGCCAAUAAACAACCAAAAAAGAAGUUGGGACUUUCCACGCGCUUUCGUCAUCAUCACCAGCACUCAAUUUUCGCGCUCACCUCGUGCUCUACGGUUACCGGAGGAGGAGGAGGACGAUCUCUAAUGAGAGCGAGUUCAGAGCCAUAUUCAGUCAGGUCUGGAGAUCCGGUGCCCAUUUGGUUGCAACAGGACAUUUAAGAUGGCAACGGUUGGAGUUAAAAAUCAUCAUUCGUGUUCAACUGAAGAAACAAAGUCACCUACAUCUUGGAUGCCCUGGGGGUGAAUCCAUGACCCCAAGCAAGUGGAUGUUGUCCGUCGAGAGGGAAGUUGUCCUGGGCCCAUUUUCAGAGGCAUUUGUUGAGGGUCUGGCAGCAUUGUUUGCGACCUAUUACAACUUGAAUCUUGCUUAUCAGGAUGAUGCUGCAUGCACGCUGGAUUUUAUUCAGAGAGGACUUGUGGGCAUCAACCCGGAAACUGGAUCAAAAGUUGCUGCUGGAAAGCGAGACAAGAAAAUGCAUGGAAUGAACCCACAUGUAUGCACACUGUUACAUAAACUAAUGGACUUUAAAUGGCUUGUCAUUUAAAGUAUUCCAACAGAAUUGAUACCAGAGACUGACCCGAUUUCCAAGUUCAUAUUCUUGCCUUUAAGGUAGGCACAGUUCAGACCAUGUCUUUAGUUUAUGACUUUAGAACACUUUAGGAAUGUGUGCACUGCAUAGUUAAUAUUUAAAGGCAUAGUUCACCCAAAAAUGAAAAUUUGAUGUUUAUCUGCUGACCCCCAGGGCAUCCAAGAUGUAGGUGACUUUGUUUCUUCA